rnacentral:rRNA from 1 species
UACGGAGGGUGCAAGCGUUAUCCGGAAUCAUUGGGCGUAAAGCGUCCGCAGGCGGAUUAUUAAGUUAGGUGUUAAAUUUUGCAGCUCAACUGCAAGUCUAUAUCUAAAACUAAUAAACUAGAGUGCUACAGAGGUACGUAGAAUUCUGUGUGUAGGGGUAAAAUCCGUAGAUACACAGAGGAAUACCAAAAGCGAAGGCAGCGUACUGGGUAGUAACUGACGCUCAUGGACGAAAGCGUGGGGAGCGAACGGGAUUAGAUACCCCGGUAGUCCACGCCGUAAACGAUGGAUACUAGGUGUUGGAGGACUCGACCCCUCCAGUGCUGACGCAAACGCAUUAAGUAUCCCGCCUGGGGAGUACGGUCGCAAGAUUAAAACUCAAAGGAAUAGACGGGGACCCACACAAGCGGUGGAGCAUGUGGUUUAAUUCGAUAAUAAGCGAGGAACCUUACCCAGACUUGACAUCCCGAGAAUUUUCCAGAAAUGGAAAAGUGCCGCAAGGAACUCGGUGACAGGUGCUGCAUGGUUGUCGUCAGCUCGUGCCUUGAGGUGUUCGGUUAAGUCCGUGAACGAGCGCAACCCUUGUGCUGUGUUGUAUCUUUCACAGCAGACUGCCGGCUUUAAGUCGGAGGAAGGUAAGGAUGACGUCAAAUCAGCAUGGCCCUUAUGUCUGGGGCUACACACGUGCUACAAUGGCUGGUACAAUGGGCAGCAAACCCGUAAGGGGGAGCCAAUCUCUAAAACCAGUCUCAGUUCGAAUUGAGGGGUGCAACUCGCCCUCAUGAAGUUGGAAUCGCUAGUAACCGCGGAUCAGCAAUGGCGCGGUGAAUAUGUUCCUGGGUCU